UGAGAAAAUUGUAUAUCCACAUUUUUAUUUAUUUUUAUUUAUUUUUUUAUGUUAACGUUUUAUGUUUUAAAUUUUUUAAAAUAUGUUUGCAUGUACUGCAAAAUGCCCAGACACAUAAAUAUGCAUGUGUAUACAUAAUUCUACCAGCUCUUUAUUUUGUUUUAUUUUAUUUUAUUUUAUUUAUUUUUUUUUUUUUUAGUAACCUUAAUGUGGUAUAAACUUACGCAUGAAAAAUGCAAAUCUAAAUUUUAUUUUUAUUCCACUUGAGUCACAUAUGACUUUUAUUUUUUUUGUCUUAAUUUUACAAAAUUCGCACACAUACAUAUGCACAUAUCUAUAUGUACAUGUAUGAUAGAGGAAGGAAAAAAAAACUAAAAAAGUGAACAUAUAAAUAUACCAAUACAUACAUAUAUAUAUAUAUAUAUAUAUAUAUAUAUAUAUAUGAUGUGUAUAACACAUAUUUAAGAGCAGGAUAACAAAACAAAACCUAAGUAAACAUAUAUACUACUGUCUUUUAUCACAGAAGAAAAAUAUAGAAAACUGUUUUUACAUUCUAGCUCGAAAAGUGUUUAUAUAUAUAUAUAUAUAUAUAUAAUAUUUUCGUGUUUAUAAAAAAAAAAAAAAAAAACGCUUGACCUAUUUUAUAUUUUUACUACUACUGCUACUAUUUUAUUUUAGUCCAUACGCACAUAUUAAAAAUGGAAGGAAGGAUUAAAAGUAAACUAGAGGAUAACAUAGAUUACAUCAAAUCAUGUAUUGGCUACUCUUUGUCGAAAUCAUUACUGUUAACAAUAAAAACUGACACAGAUGGUAAUAUAUAUAUAUAUGUAUGUAUCUACAUAUGCAUCGAAUAGCCCCAUAAUAUGCUUAUUACUAUACCAUGUUUUUUUUUUUUUUUUUUUUUUUUUUUUUUUUUUUGCGUUAUGUAAAAACACCAAACAUACAGACCCGCUACCCAUUGUCAGACAAUACUUGAAAAACCUUGCUACUUUUAAUGAAGAAAAGGAAAAAAAAAAAAAAAAUUUAAUGAAAAAACUGAAUUCAUGCAAUAUUAAAAUAAAUGACGAAAUAAAAAAAGAUUUAACUGAAAAAAAAGUGAAAGAUAUUUAUAAAUUUAUAAAUAAAAAUAAAAUUGAAAAUUUAUACGACAUUUUUAAUGAUUUGUUAAACCUCAUUAAAAAUGUAUUUCAUGUAGAAAAUGUGUAUAUUGGGAAAGUCUACAAAAAGAAAGAAAAAAAAGAAAUUGCAAAAAAAAAAAGAAAUUUCAAAAAGGAAAAGACAAAAAAUGAAAAAAAAGAAACAAUCAAACAUGUUCUUAAAUUUAUAUAUACUAGUGAAAAUUGUGAUUUAAAAAAUGAAAUCCUUCUUAAUGAAAACGAAAUUAAUAACAUGUUUUUGCAAGUAACUAAAAAUAAGGAAACAGAUUUUCUUUUUGUAAAAACUUAUUUAUUUCAUAAUAUCGUAAAAAAAAAAUUUAUAUAUGAGGACCUGCAUGAAAAUUUAUUUUUUAAUAUAAACCCAUUUUAUGAAAACAUAAACCAGUUAAAAAAAGUAAAAAAAGAAAUAUACAAUUACUCAAAAAGCGAGAAAAAGGUUAAUGGUAGUGGUAGUGAUGAUGACAAAGGUGAUGACGGUGGUGACGAUGACAAUAGUGACGAUGACAAUGGUGACGAUGACAAUGGUGACGAUGACAAUGGUGACGAUGACAAUGGUGACGAUGACAAUGGUGACGAUGACAAUGGUGACGAUGACAAUGGUGACGAUGACAAUGGUGACGAUGACAAUGGUGACGAUGACAAUAGUGGCAAUGACAAUAGUGGCGAUGACAAGAAUAGGAAAAACGACAACAGUUCUAAUAACAAACGAGAAUCAAAAGAGUUUUCAAAAUUAGAUAAAACAAAAGAUAAUAUACAUAUGUGCGAAGAAGAUAAAUUACAAAACAAUUUACUUAAAACAUUACAUUUAAAUGUUAAUUACAAUUUUAUAUAUAUUUAUGAAGUUAUGGAAAAGUAUAACUCCUUUUUAUAUACUUAUACAAAACCAGGAGAUUUCGUUUUAAUUCCGAUAGUAUAUGAAACAUAUUACAAUUUAAUUUUUUUAAAUAAAUUAUAUGACUUAGAAAAAAAAAAAAUAUUACAAUCGGACAUAGUCAAAGAUGGCACAGCCUCUUCAGAAUUGUCACCAAAAGAAAAAGACCAAAUAAGUAACGUAUUGAGCCCGAGUCCCUCAAAAAACGAACAAACUGACACAGAACAAAAAGGAAAGGGAGAAAAAGAAAAGCUUUCUGAACACAUGCAACACUUAAAAUCCGACGUGAAAGUUCAAAUGUGUCUUUGCGUUGACAACAGAGGGAGUAUAAAUAAGUUAAAUAAAUUUCAAAUUAAUAUGCUUAUAAUUUUUACUUAUUUUUUAAUUACUCGGAUAUUAAUAUGCGAAAGAAAAUGUAUUGAUGAACAGGUUUACUAUAUGAUCGACUGCGAAUACGGAGAAACAAAAGAAAUUAUCGAUAAAUUGACGAAAAAAAUGCAGGAAAAUUAUUAUGAACGUGUAAUAAACAAAUUUCAAAAAGACAUAAAAGAACAUCAUUACUAUGAAAAAUCACCAGAAUUAAUUAAAUAUAUGUCUACACUACUUUGGAUACAAAAAAAAAUUGCAAAACAUGAAAUUGAAGUUUUGUUAAUCAGUAAAAUUAAAGUACAAUACAGCACUAACAUUUUAAAAACAUUGCUCAGCUGCUUUAUCCUCACAGAUUAUGAUUAUUCAAAAUUUACUUAUUCAAGUGGAAAUAUAAUAGAAAACUGCGAUUGGUUACAAUUAGUAUUAAACAUAGAUUCAGAUUUUGUUGAAAAGCUUACUUUGUUUAACCCUAUAGUAUCAUUUGAAGAAAAAAGCAUAAAACAAUUGAAGCAAAUGAAAACAUUUUUAAGUGAGUUUAGUUUAUUAACUAAUACAAAGGGUCUGAAUCAUAUGGAGAAAAUAACAACUUACGGAAUAACAUUAUUACAUUAUUUUAACGAAGUAAUAAAAAUAAAAUAAAAAUACCACGUAAAAAAAAAAAAAAAAAAAAAAAAAAAAAACAUUUCGGAU
rnacentral:lncRNA from 1 species